rnacentral:rRNA from 1 species
UACGAAGGGGACUAGCGUUGUUCGGAAUCACUGGGCGUAAAGGGCGCGUAGGCGGCGCUCCAAGUUAGGCGUGAAAGCCCCCGGGCUCAACCUGGGAAUAGCGCUUAAGACUGGGGUGCUCGAGUGCGGGAGAGGUGAGUGGAAUUCCCAGUGUAGAGGUGAAAUUCGUAGAUAUUGGGAAGAACACCAGUGGCGAAGGCGGCUUUCUGGACAAUCACUGACGCUGAGGCGCGAAAGCUAGGGGAGCAAACGGG